GUAUAACAUCCCUCUUGCAACUGGUCUCGCAAUACUUAUGCACUGAAUGGCUUCCUUGGCUUUUGACUGACAAUCUGGCGCCAAACGUUAGCACUCGCGGUUUUUAUACUAUUUUUAAUAUUGAUCAUUGCAAGUUGCAUGGAACAUAUUGCUUGGUGUAACAUCCUUUGCAAUGCAAUCCUGAAAUCGUUUUUCUUAACAUUGCGGCACAAGUUCCGAGGCAAGUUGCUUAGUGUAACAGCGCUAAUUUCAGAGGAAUUAUUGCAACGGAGAGAUGUUGUUUCGCUCAGCUUCUGAAAGUUGUACAUUCCGUAUCGGAUAGGUGCUUUUUCGCGCCGCUACGAAAAGCUAUCCGACAUAGUGUAAACAGAGCCU